ACGACCGUACCGCAAACCGACACUGGUGCGCGAGAUGAGUAUUCUAAGGCGCUUGAGAGAACUCAGGAGAAGGAACUCGGCAAAUUGACACCGUAACUUCGGAAGAAGGUGUGCCCUAUUAGUGUGAAGUGAACAACGGAGCAUGAAUGGGUUGCAAAAAAUCGGUGGCUGCGACUGUUUAUUAAAAACACAGCACUCUGCAAACACGAAAGUGGACGUAUAGGGUGUGACGCCUGCCCGGUGCUGGAAGAUUAAAUGAUGGGGUGCAAGCUCUUGAUUGAAGUCCCAGUAAACGGCGGCCGUAACUAUAACGGUCCUAAGGUAGCGAAAUUCCUUGUCGGGUAAGUUCCGACCUGCACGAAUGGCGUAACGAUGGCCACACUGUCUCCUCCUGAGACUCAGCGAAGUUGAAAUGUUUGUGAUGAUGCAAUCUCCCCGCGGAAAGACGGAAAGACCCCAUGAACCUUUACUGUAGCUUUGUAUUGGACUUUGAACAGAUCUGUGUAGGAUAGGUGGGAGGCUUUGAAGCCAGGACGCUAGUUCUGGUGGAGCCAACGUUGAAAUACCACCCUGGUGUGUUUGAGGUUCUAACCUAGGUCCAUUAUCUGGAUCGGGGACAGUGCAUGGUAGGCAGUUUGACUGGGGCGGUCUCCUCCCAAAGCGUAACGGAGGAGUUCGAAGGUACGCUAGUUACGGUCGGACAUCGUGACGAUAGUGCAAUGGCAUAAGCGUGCUUAACUGCGAGACUGACAAGUCGAGCAGAUGCGAAAGCAGGACAUAGUGAUCCGGUGGUUCUGUAUGGAAGGGCCAUCGCUCAACGGAUAAAAGGUACUCUGGGGAUAACAGGCUGAUACCGCCCAAGAGUUCAUAUCGACGGCGGUGUUUGGCACCUCGAUGUCGGCUCAUCUCAUCCUGGGGCUGUAGCCGGUCCCAAGGGUAUGGCUGUUCGCCAUUUAAAGAGGUACGUGAGCUGGGUUUAAAACGUCGUGAGACAGUUUGGUCCCUAUCUUCCGUGGGCGCUGCAGAUUUGAGGAAGCCUGCUCCUAGUACGAGAGGACCGGAGUGGACACACCUCUGGUGUAUCGGUUGUCACGCCAGUGGCAUUGCCGAGUAGCUAAGUGUGGAAGAGAUAACCGCUGAAAGCAUCUAAGCGGGAAACUCGUUUCAAGAUGAGAUCUGCCGGGGCCUUGAGCCCCCUGAAGAGUCGUUCAAGACCAGGACGUUGAUAGGUCAGGUGUGGAAGCGCAGUAAUGCGUUAAGCUAACUGAUACUAAUUGCUCGUGCGGCUUGACC
rnacentral:rRNA from 1 species